rnacentral:rRNA from 1 species
GACGAACGCUGGCGGCGUGCUUAACACAUGCAAGUCGAACGGAAAGGCCCUGCUUUUGUGGGGUGCUCGAGUGGCGAACGGGUGAGUAACACGUGAGUAACCUGCCCUUGACUUUGGGAUAAAUUCAGGAAACUGGGGCUAAUACCGGAUAGGAGCUCCUGCUGCAUGGUGGGGGUUGGAAAGUUUCGGCGGUUGGGGAUGGACUCGCGGCUUAUCAGCUUGUUGGUGGGGUAGUGGCUUACCAAGGCUUUGACGGGUAGCCGGCCUGAGAGGGUGACCGGCCACAUUGGGACUGCGAUACGGCCCAGACUCCUACGGGAGGCAGCAGUGGGGAAUAUUGCACAAUGGGCGGAAGCCUGAUGCAGCAACGCCGCGUGCGGGAUGACGGCCUUCGGGUUGUAAACCGCUUUCGCCUGUGACGAAGCGUGAGUGACGGUAAUGGGUAAAGAAGCACCGGCUAACUACGUG